UAAAACUCCGCCAUGUCGUCCGCUUAAAUAACAGGGUGUGCGUGUUUUUAAAAAGGGAAAUACAUUGGAAGUUCUAACUAUCCAAGAUGAAAAUGCUGAUAUCACUUUUUGUGAUUACAGUGCUGUUUGGGUUUCCAGCCAGUGUGAGAACAAUAAUGGAAACACAGUGUGACCCAUCACCAGUAUAUUAUCUCCAUCAUGACUGUAAGUUGUCUUUACUGUGC